GCGACCCCAGGUCAGGCGGGGCUACCCGCUGAGUUUAAGCAUAUCAAUAAGCGGAGG
rnacentral:misc_RNA from 1 species